rfam:Freshwater sediment metagenome lwFormaldehyde_BCIB12224_y1, whole genome shotgun sequence.
GGGGGUGGGCCCCCCGGAGCCGGCUUGCAGGAGCAGGCUCCAAACCACCUUAAGCUGCGCUGGUUAAGAGCCAGGGUGGUGAGCGUUAAGGACAAGUCAUGGCUAAUGACCGUGGCAGGU